rnacentral:ncRNA from 1 species
UGAGAAAAAGCCAAACCUGCUGUGAGGCAGGGACGGAAAGCCACGGGUCUUAAAAUCAAGACAGCCUGGCUGCCUGAG